rnacentral:rRNA from 1 species
UACGAGGGGGGGCGAGCGUUUGUUCGGAAUUAUUGGGCGUAAAGAGCUCGUAGGCGGUUUGUCGCGUCUGCUGUGAAAACGCGAGGCUCAACCUCGCGCCUGCAGUGGGUACGGGCAGACUAGAGUGCGGUAGGGGGAGAUUGGAAUUCCUGGUGUAGCGGGUGGAAUGCGCAGAUAUCAGGAGGAACACCGAUGGCGAAGGCAGAUCUCUGGGCCGCAACCUACGCUGAGGAGCGAAAGCUGGGGGAGCGAACAGG